rnacentral:rRNA from 1 species
AUGUCGUACACAGCCGUGGAGUUGGUUUGUUGGAAUGUGAGGGGCCUCAACAGCCCGGCAAAACGUGACGCCCUUCGUGAACUAGCGGACUCCAUGAAAGUAGCGAUAUGGUGUAUCUUAGACACAAAGCUGGAGAGGAUGGAUCAGUAUGUAAUUUGGCAAUGCCUUGGGCCUAAUUACGAUGGGUUUGUAUACUUGCCGGCCUCGUCUACUAGGGGUGGUAUUUUUGUUGCUUGGGAUUCCUCGAAGGCGUCGAUCACUAACAUGAUGAACGAUACCAACUUCACCACGGGAUACGUGACACCGAACGAGGGCGUACCCUGGUGGCUGUCGGUGGAUUACGGGGCUCAAGAGGACGCUCAAAAGGUUGCAAUGCUUGAGGAGAUCUCGGCUAGGAGGCAGCUUUGCCCAGGACCGUGGAUGGCAGUUGGCGAAUAUGAUUCUUCACGCUACCAACAAGAAUAA